ACGUGUGCUCUUCAGAUCUGUUUGUUGCAGGGUCAUAGUCUGUACAUCAGGCUUCAUUCUUCAGAUGAGGUUAGAGUAACAACAUCCUUGUACCUUGUAUUUUCCAGUACAGUCAAGAGCAGCCCACAAAGCCAGAUGUACAUUGGAACAGAAAGACUAUUUGUUGAGUGUAUGAAAAUGUGUUUUAAAUUGUUUCUGCAGUCUUUGCUUGUGAAUACAAAUGUCAUGGGAUGACAGCCUUCAUGAACGUUUUACUAGAAUCUUUAUGAUUUAGAUGGUGAUCAUUUUAUUCUAUUGACAGUAUUGAGCACUUUGCAGGUGGAUAUCAAGGUUAAUUAUCAUAUUGAGGAGGGAAGCAGUACAUUCUACUAACUUUCAAGUCUUUCUGAGAAAAAUUGAAUUAUUGCCAUUAAAGUGUUAUUAAGUUAAUAAAUUGGUUAAUAAAAGCAAUUAAAACUUUCGUUUCUUACAACUUGCCAUAACUCCUUUGCUUGAAAAUAGUUAUCACUGAAUAGAAAUAUGAAGAAGAUCAAAUGACUCUUGAAGUUUAAACAAAGGGAACUGCAAAGAAAACCUUCAAAGGGCACCAUCUCAGUUGUCAGCAUUUUGGUGAACAAAAUUCGUUGUGUGUUGUUCUAGAGCUAGUAAUAUGGACACUUUUAAUAAUACCAUCAUUUAUCAAGCACUUAUUUUGUAUCACAUCCCAUGCUUCAUCUUUUCAGGCUCCUAGCAGUUCUGUGAUGGCAGAUAUUACAGUUUCAAGUUUCUAAAUAUGUUUGGUCAGCUUCCGAGCCUCAGAUUUCCUAUCAGACUCCAAAUAUUGGGCCCUUUAUUCCACAUGUUGGCCCCCCCAUCCACAGCUUUUCUCUGACUUAUUGUUUCAUAUUUGAUAUUCUGAAUUUUCUCCGAAAAACACCACAUACUCAUUUUGAGGUUCUGGCUUUAAGAAAAUAAUUUAUUUAAUAUUAAAAAUAAUACCUUUUGUGGCUCAUCAAAAAAUUAUUCUGUCAGUUUAGGCAUAAUCAUUUUGGCAAGUUCACAGACUAUUUUCAAGCAUUGGUUGGGCCAGUUGAACUUGUAAAUACAUCUGCGAGAUUUAAAAAAUUCAAAUCAGUUGUCUACAACUAGUAUUUCUUUUUCUUGGCCAUAGGGCUUUAAUACCGAUUUUUUUUUUAACCAAAUAGUUCUCUCUAAAAUACCUAUAUAGGAUGCAGCAGAUUUUGCCAAUUUGGAGAAUAUUUUACUUUAUAUAUGAAAACUACGAUGCUUCGGGUUUUUUUUUAUCCUACAUAUUCAUUUAUUUUCACUUGGUAUUUUAGCUGCACUGCGUAAAGUGACAUAUCCCUGAUGAUUUUUUUCCUUCUCCAACCAAGGAGAGUUUUUGUCUUUUUUUAAAGCAGUACAGCAUUUAAUCUCUCAUAUCUAUUAAGGGAAAUUUUAUAGGUAGAAAAAAGACCCUGAGUGUUAUAUGGGGAAAAAAAGUGCAUUGUUAAGUGGGAGAGAUUAUAAACAGGCUUAGUUUUUUUUAACAUAGAAGCUUUGAAGAUAAAUAUGCCUUGUUCAGAAAUUUUAACCAAGAAUCAGUGAUCCUUAAUAAUUCUCAUCAUAUGUUGACAAAUUCACAUUUGCAUACAUUACUCGUGUAUAAAGAUUGAUUAGCGUCUAGCUUUCUUGUAUUUUCUAGUAUACUUUACUUUUAACAAGUUGCAUAUCCUGUGCAUUGGACUUUUCAGAAUUAGUAUUCAUUAGUCUCUUUAAUGAAGAUUUUUUUUUAAUAUGUAUGUUUGAGAGAGAGCGAGCACAAGCAGGGGAUGGGCAGAAAGAG